rnacentral:rRNA from 1 species
UACAGAGGUCCCAAGCGUUGUUCGGAUUCAUUGGGCGUAAAGGGUGCGUAGGCGGCGCGGUAAGUCGGGUGUGAAAUCUCGGGGCUUAACUCCGAAACUGCAUUCGAUACUGCCGUGCUUGAGGACUGGAGAGGAGACUGGAAUUUACGGUGUAGCGGUGAAAUGCGUAGAUAUCGUAAGGGAAGACCAGUGGCGAAGGCGGCUUCCUGGCCUGUUCUUGACGCUGAGGCGCGAAAGCUAGGGGAGCAAACGGG